rnacentral:rRNA from 1 species
UACGUAGGGGGCAAGCGUUAUCCGAAUUUACUGGGUGUAAAGGGAGCGUAGACGGUAUGGCAAGUCUGAUGUGAAAACCCGGGGCUCAACCCCGGGACUGCAUUGGAAACUGUCGGACUAGAGUGUCGGAGAGGCAAGUGGAAUUCCUAGUGUAGCGGUGAAAUGCGUAGAUAUUAGGAGGAACACCAGUGGCGAAGGCGGCUUACUGGACUGUAACUGACGUUGAGGCACGAAAGCGUGGGGAGCAAAC